rnacentral:rRNA from 1 species
GUCUACAGCCAUACCACCCUAAAUGUGCCCGAUCUCAUCUGAUCUCAGAAGCUAAGCAGGGUUGAGCCUGGUUAGUACUUGGAUGGGAAAAGAUCCAAUGCGUCGAUGAUG